UGGGGAAUAUUGCACAAUGGGCGCAAGCCUGAUGCAGCGACGCCGCGUGGGGGAUGAAGGCCUUCGGGUUGUAAACUCCUUUCAACCAUGACGAAGCAUUAUGUGACGGUAGUGGUAGAAGAAGCACCGGCUAACUACGUGCCAGCAGCCGCGGUAAUACGUAGGGUGCGAGCGUUGUCCGGAAUUACUGGGCGUAAAGAGCUCGUAGGUGGUUUGUCGCGUCGUCUGUGAAAUUCCGGGGCUUAACUCCGGGCGUGCAGGCGAUACGGGCAUAACUUGAGUGCUGUAGGGGAGACUGGAAUUCCUGGUGUAGCGGUGAAAUGCGCAGAUAUCAGGAGGAACACCGAUGGCGAAGGCAGGUCUCUGGGCAGUAACUGACGCUGAGGAGCGAAAGCAUGGGUAGCGAACAGG
rnacentral:rRNA from 1 species